rnacentral:lncRNA from 1 species
UCAUGUGAACAACCUGGAGCUAGCCUGCUGGAUGAUGAGGGAAGCAACACCCGAGCCUGUCAGUUGUCACAUCCGACAGCCUGCCAGACGCCAUGAGUGCAACCAUCACAGAUGAGUCGGCCCCAGGCAACUCACUGUGGACCAGUGGAGAUCCACUGAGCUUGGCCCAGAUCAGUGGCCACACCUAGCUUGACAAACAGUCUAGAGAGUGAUAACAAAGGCUUAUUGUUUCAAACCCCCAUGUGUUAAGGUGGUUUCUUUCAGUACAUCUUGGAAUUUUUCCUGGUAGCUGACCUCAAAUGACACCAUCUUGAUCCAACACACAGGUUAAUACUUUGAAAUCUCCAGAGGGUAAAGGUCAGUCUGGUCUUGUUCUCAGCAGCUUAGGGUGCAGGGCCCAAAGCUGUCUUUAAGGACAGAAUUAUAAAUCCAGUAUACCCAAAACUUUAAGUGGUUAAAGCCCUCUUAGCAAUCUCAUCUCCACUCCUUCCAGCUCUUUUUCUCCUUGCCCUAAAAAUAAAACAAAAUUUAAUUCCUGUACCCUAGACUGUACCAAAAGUAUCCAUAUAUUGCUUGCAUUGGGAUCCUUUGAACAAACCCAAGCCUGUGUGGCCUGGUGCUAGUAACUGGCUCUUCUAUGACCCCCCGCAAGUCACGUCACCUCUCGGAGCUUCAAUUUUCUUGUCUGUAAAAUGGGUACUAUAAUUCUAUCUACCUCCAGGGGUCUUGAAAAUUCAUUCACUCAUUCAUUCAUUCAUUCAUUCAUUCCUCGAGUAUUUACCUAGAGUCCCUGUGCGCCAGGCAUUGUUCUAGGUGCUAGGGACAUAUCAGCUCUCAGAACGUUCUCUUUUCUGCUACAAGGAAGCGUACAUUCCUCUUGGAGGGAGACAGACAAUAAAGAGUGAAGAGAAUAAAAAGGAAAAGUAUGUGGUGUGAUAGAAGGCAAAUUCAGUCGCCAAAAAAAGAACAGGAUAAGGGGGGCUGAGAGGGUGGAGAUGGGGCUGGCAGCACAGGUCUUGGUUGCAAUUUUAAACAGAAUUUUUACCAUAGGUCUUAAGGAGAAGAUGAGGCAGGCUUGAAGGAGGUGGGAGUUAGUUUUGUGGGUAUCUGGGAAAAAAGACCCCCAGGCAGGGGGACAGGCAGGGCAAAGACCUCGAUCUGGGAAUGUGCCUGGUGUGUUAGAGGAGCCCUCGGGUCUGGUGAGGAGGGCAGAAGGGGGAAGAGCCCCAGGAAAGGCAGGCUGAGAGGAAGGGGCUGCAGGACAGAUUGCUUGGGGCUCUCAUAGGCUUUGGGUUUUACUCUGAGUGAAAUGGGCAGUCGGUGAGGCUAUGGGCAGAGCCAGAAAGCCUUCAGUUGGACCAGCACGAUGCUGGCACAGAGGAAUUGCUCCAUAGUUUUAGAGCAGACGGUGAUUUUUCAAGUUGGCAGCAGUGCAUCAGUCUAGAAAGAAACUACAAGGCCCCUCUGAGCAAUGGAGGGUGGUGGCCCCUUGGCCCUACCAGAGGCACGCCAGACCUUUGUUUGGCUGGUAACACCUGUCUGUCCCUCUCAGUGCUUCCUGGUAUACAUAUCUCCUGGAUGGGAUGGGGCAGGCAAAUUUGCAUGAGGGCCAAGGAGCCUGUUGGGAGAACCAGGGAACCCUCUUGAGGCUAAGCAGUAGUAAUCACUUUGCUGAUGGCAGCAGUGUCACCUGAAGUCAGCUACCAGGACAGAUACCAAAGACCCCCAAGAGAAGCUUACCUUGGGUAAGAGCUCUCUAUUGUCAGCCACUCUGAGUUUAAGGUGCAGCUCUGUAAACACGGAACCCCUUCUCCCCUGACUUUGGGAUUUUUCCGCUCAAGAAUCUGGGAGGCAGGACUGGGCACCUGAAUUGUCUCUCUGGCAACUAGACCAACUUUCUACAUCAGUCCCAUGAGGGAAACAACCUCAAACUGAGCUCUGCAUAGACCUGUCUAUUUCUCCAUCCUUGGGCACCAACUGGAUCCUCUUAGAAAGGUAAGCACCUGGGAUUUUUUAUAACAGGGGUACGGGGAAGGCAAAAGAGAGAGAGGCAGUGGGCAGGCUGCUAACUAGACAGGAGGGAGCUUGAACCACUGAUGUGAAUAUGAAGAAUCAAUGUGACCUUAUUUGUACCAUAAGCUGCCCAAUAUAGUGAAGCCAAUUAAGUUGAUCAUUGUUGCUCCUCUCAUAGGCCUUGCGAAUUGAGUACGGCAACCUUUUUACCCCUUCAUUACAUCUGGUCCCCCCACCCCACCUACAUUAUGGUAUCUCCAGGUGAGACCCUCACGGGUAGCUAGGACAUCCACCUUGGGGACCUACUGAGGGGAUGCAAGACUGGGAGCUGGUUGCCCUACUGGGACUUGUUGCUAGCUGUUUGAUAUUGGCCAAAUCAUUUAGAAGCAGUCAGUUUCUCAAACUUGAAUGUGUAGGUGAAUCCUGGGGGAUCCUGGGCAAAUUCAGCUUCUGAUUAAGUCAGUGGGUCUCAGAGGGGACCGGUUCGUCCUCAUUGGAACAGGUUCCCAGGUGAUGCUGAUGUGUGAUCAGAGCAUUUGAGGCUGGUUGCAGCGCUGGCUGCAGGUGAGAAUCAUCUGAGAUGCUUCAACCUAAUUUACUACCUGGUCCCAACCUCACAAAUAUGCUGACUUAAUUGGUUUGGGCAGGGCUUGAGUUUUGGAAGUUCCAGUAAUCUCCCUCAGUGAGUCUAUCGUGCAGUCAGGAUUGAAAACUGGUGGUUUGGUCCAUGCUCCUCACUUUCUAGGGCUUUUGGCAGGGAACUGUAUAACUGAUCUCCUAAGCUGGAAUGCAUUUUAGAGUGAAAAGGGUCACAGAUGGCAAUCACACAGGUUCAGCACGUGUAAGCUGGGGUCGUCCCGUGCAAAUUUGGUAUGGAGUGAAUUUAACUGUAACCUGGUGGGGUUCCAGUCCUGCCCUAGGCCACAAAGGUGAUUAGUGGUAGAACCUGGGCUUGGAAACCAGGCUCUUAACUCUUAAUUGAGUUGUCAUUUCACAUCCUCAUAACCUCAAUGACUCAGUCUGUGAAAUGGGAAUAAGAAUGCCUAAUUUGUCAAUCCUAAUCCAGGGUGAUUUUGAAUUUACAAGGAGACCUGGAGUUCCCAUUGUGGCUCAGUAGUUUCAGAACUGACUACUAUCCACGAGGAUGCAGAUUUGAUCUCUGGCCUCACUCAGUGGGUUAAGGAUGUGGUGUUGCUGAAAGCUAUGGCAUAGGCCAGCAGCUGCAGCUCUAAGUUGAACCUUAGCCUGGAAACUUCCAUGUGCUGCAGAUUCAGUCAUAAAAAGAGAAAAAAAAGAGAGAGACCAUAAUCCUCACAAAUGUGCUUUAGGAGGUUGAGCCGCCUUGUGGAAUUGGAAGGCAUGGUUAUUAUUUUGAGUCUGUGGUUACCAGGGCCAGUCUGGGAUCUACCCAUCUCUAGUUAGAGUGACCACAGCUAUUUGAAUAAUGAAUAAUAAAUGGGGCUCAUUAGCUAAAAUAACCUUGACACAGUAGAAAAGUAAGGAGAUGCGAAUCAGAAAGGCAUUUAAUACAAGUGUCAUUCCCUGGAUGGAGACUGAGCAGAGGCAGGCGCUUAGGGCGAAGGAAGAUAAGGAUCUCAGUGGCCCACAAGCUAAAUGGGAAUCAAUAAUGUUAUCCCUAGAAACAAGUUAGUGUGAUACAUAAAUAGAAGCGCGCCUUGUCUAAAUCUGAGAUCCUUGUGCUGACCCUCUAGGAUCUGAGGAGGGUGUCAGCGUGGAGGAGGGUGGAGAUGACCCUGGAAUUGAAAUUGUCAAGGUGGUGGAAGUGGGAGGUGGGGGGCUGCAGAUGAAAUCCCUUCUAACUGCACACAUUGCAGAUGAAAACACUGAGGCCUAGCCGUGCUGAAUGAGUUACCUGGCAACCAGGGAUUUACCAGUGGGGCCAGACUGGGCCCAAGGUCUUGGAACAAUCAUUCCCAAGUCUGUCCCUGUGUGUU